rnacentral:rRNA from 1 species
AGAACACAGGUGCUGCAUGGCUGUCGUCAGCUCGUGUCGUGAGAUGUUGGGUUAAGUCCCGCAACGAGCGCAACCCUUGUCAUUAGUUGCCAUCAUUUAGUUGGGCACUCUAAUGAGACUGCCGGUGACAAACCGGAGGAAGGUGGGGAUGACGUCAAGUCCUCAUGGCCCUUAUAGGUGGGGCUACACACGUCAUACAAUGGAUGGUACAAAGGGUCGCCAACCCGCGAGGGGGAGCCAAUCCCAUAAAGACAUUCGUAGUCCGGAUCGCAGUCUGCAACUCGACUUCAUGAAGUCGGAAUCGCUAGUAAUCGCGGAUCAGCAUGCCGCGGUCGAAUACGUUCCCGGGCCUU